UGGGGAAUAUUGCACAAUGGAGGGAACUCUGAUGCAGCGACGCCGCGUGAACGAAGAAGGCUCUCGAGUCGUAAAGUUCUUUUAUAUGGGAAGAUAAUGACGGUACCAUAAGAAAAAGCCCCGGCUAACUACGUGCCAGCAGCCGCGGUAAUACGUAGGGGGCUAGCGUUGUCCGGAAUCACUGGGCGUAAAGGGUUCGCAGGCGGAAAUGCAAGUCAGGUGUAAAAGGCAGUAGCUUAACUACUGUAAGCAUUUGAAACUGCAUAUCUUGAGAAGAGUAGAGGUAAGUGGAAUUUUUGGUGUAGCGGUGAAAUGCGUAGAUAUUAAAAAGAAUACCGGUGGCGAAGGCGACUUACUGGGCUCAUUCUGACGCUGAGGAACGAAAGCGUGGGUAGCAAACAGG
rnacentral:rRNA from 1 species